rnacentral:rRNA from 1 species
UACGGAGGGUGCGAGCGUUGUCCGGAAUCACUGGGCGUAAAGGGCGCGUAGGCGGUUCGUUAAGUCGUUGGUGAAAUCCCGGGGCUCAACUCCGGGGCGGCCGGCGAGACUGGCGGGCUCGAGCACGGUAGAGGCAGAUGGAAUUCCCGGUGUAGCGGUGGAAUGCGUAGAUAUCGGGAAGAACACCGGUGGCGAAGGCGUUCUGCUGGGCCGUUGCUGACGCUGAGGCGCGACAGCGUGGGGAGCAAAC